UAUGACACGGAUCAAUGCUUGACGUUGAUUUAAAUCAAAUAAAAUCAAUCAUUGUUCGUGGCAUGCC
rnacentral:pre_miRNA from 1 species